rnacentral:rRNA from 1 species
UUGAACGCUGGCGGCAUGCCUUACACAUGCAAGUCGAACGGUAGAGGGGCAACCCUUGAGAGUGGCGAACGGGUGAGUAAUGCAUCGGAACGUGCCCAGUCGUGGGGGAUAACGCAGCGAAAGCUGUGCUAAUACCGCAUGUGAUCUGUGGAUGAAAGCAGGGGACCGCAAGGCCUUGUGCGAUUGGAGCGGCCGAUGUCAGAUUAGCUAGUUGGUAGGGUAAAAGCCUACCAAGGCGACG